rnacentral:tRNA from 1 species
GGUUUUAUAUUUUAUUAAAAAUAUUAAAUUGCAAAUUUAAAGAUACAUAUAUUAAUGUUAAAACUU